CAGUAAAUAUUUUAAAUAAAAUAUUAAUUUUGGGGAUUGAAGUUGGGAAAAUUUCUCUUUACUGA
rnacentral:tRNA from 1 species